GAUGAACGCUGGCGGCGUGCCUAAUACAUGCAAGUCGAGCGAACAGACGAGGCGCUUGCUCCUCUGACGUUAGCGGCGGACGGGUGAGUAACACGUGGAUAACCUACCUAUAAGACUGGGAUAACUUCGGGAAACCGGAGCUAAUACCGGAUAAUAUAUUGAACCGCAUGGUUCAAUAGUGAAAGACGGCUUUGCUGUCACUUAUAGAUGGAUCCGAGCCGCAUUAGCUAGUUGUGAAGGUAAAGGCUUACCAAGGGAACGAUGCGUAGCCGACGUGAGAGGGUGAUCGGCCACACUGGAACUGAACCACGGUCCAGACUCCUACGGGAGGCAGCAGUAGGGAAUCUUCCGCAAUGGGCGAAAGCCUGACGGAGCAACGCCGCGUGAGUGAUGAAGGUCUUCGGAUCGUAAAACUCUGUUAUUAGGGAAGAACAAAUGUGUAAGUAACUAUGCACGUCUUGACGGUACCUAAUCAGAAAGCCACGGCUAACUACGUG
rnacentral:rRNA from 1 species